UACGUAGGGUGCGAGCGUUGUCCGGAAUUAUUGGGCGUAAAGAGCUUGUAGGCGGUUUGUCGCGUCUGCUGUGAAAAUCCGGGGCUCAACCCCGGACUUGCAGUGGGUACGGGCAGACUAGAGUGUGGUAGGGGAGACGUGGAAUUCCUGGUGUAGCGGUGGAAUGCGCAGAUAUCAGGAGGAACACCGAUGGCGAAGGCAGCUCGCUGGGACGUUACUGACGCUGAGGAGCGAAAGCAUGGGGAGCGAACAGG
rnacentral:rRNA from 1 species